rnacentral:rRNA from 1 species
UACGGGGGGAGCAAGCGUUGUUCGGAUUUACUGGGCGUAAAGGGCGCGUAGGCGGCCACCGCAAGUCGACUGUGAAAUCUCCGGGCUUAACCCGGAAAGGUCAGCCGAUACUGCGGGGCUAGAGUGCAGAAGGGGCAACUGGAAUUCUCGGUGUAGCGGUGAAAUGCGUAGAUAUUAGGAAGAACACCGGUGGCGAAGGCGGCCCACUGGAUCGGCACUGACGCUGAGGUGCGAAAGCGUGGGGAGCAAACAGG